UGCAAGCACAGAGUUCAUGAGAAAGGCAAAGCAUGGGAGGGAAAGAGAGAGAUUAACAUCAAUGACCUUUUGUGCCUCAUUGGCCAUAUUUAGCAAUGAACACAGAAUGCCCUGUUUAUUCACAAGAAGUUUUUCAUGUUUCCUGCACGUGUGUUGUUUAGAGGAGACGGCACAUGAUUCGGAGCAUGAGUGAUCAGACGAUCGAAGGGAAACACCACACAAUAUGGAACAAAACCUUGUUUUCGUUUGCCGUAACCCAUCUACAGUAAACUGGCCGGAUUAAAUAAAUCUAAGGAGCUAAGGGAACAGAAACAGGAGUUAUUGGAUGGAACAGCUGUUGGGGGAAGAGCUUUCUGCAUUUCCGUGACUGAAAAGCAGCUGUAGGAGUGCAGAGGCAGCUAAAAGGCAACAGAACACACCCCUGCUCAGGACAGGCCCACUGAGGUCCCUGUGUGUGUGUGUGUGUGUGUUGUGUGUGUGUGUG